UACGUAGGGUGCGAGCGUUGUCCGGAAUUAUUGGGCGUAAAGGGCGCGUAGGCGGCUUGGCAAGUGGAAGGUGAAAUCCCUCGGCUUAACCGAGGAACUGCCCUCCAAACUGCUUUGCUUGAGGCCGGGAGAGGUGAGUGGAAUUCCCAGUGUAGCGGUGAAAUGCGUAGAUAUUGGGAGGAACACCAGUGGCGAAGGCGGCUCACUGGACCGGUUCUGACGCUGAGGCGCGAAAGCGUGGGAAGCAAACGGG
rnacentral:rRNA from 1 species